AGAGUUUGAUCCUGGCUCAGGAUGAACGCUGGCGGCGUGCCUAACACAUGCAAGUCGAACAAGGUAACCACGUCGGGGUACACGAGCGGCGAACGGGUGAGUAACACGUGGGUGAUCUGCCCUGCACUUCGGGAUAAGCCUGGGAAACUGGGUCUAAUACCGGAUAUGACCUCAGGUUGCAUGACUUGGGGUGGAAAGAUUUAUCGGUGCAGGAUGGGCCCGCGGCCUAUCAGCUUGUUGGUGGGGUAAUGGCCUACCAAGGCGACGACGGGUAGCCGACCUGAGAGGGUGACCGGCCACACUGGGACUGAGACACGGACCAGACUCCUACGGGAGGCAGCAGUGGGGAAUAUUGCACAAUGGGCGAAAGCCUGAUGCAGCGACGCCGCGUGAGGGAUGACGGCCUUCGGGUUGUAAACCUCUUUCAGCAGGGACGAAGCGCAAGUGACGGUACCUGCAGAAGAAGCACCGGCUAACUACGUGCCAGCAGCCGCGGUAAUACGUAGGGUGCAAGCGUUGUCCGGAAUUACUGGGCGUAAAGAGUUCGUAGGCGGUUUGUCGCGUCGUUUGUGAAAACCAGCAGCUCAACUGCUGGCUUGCAGGCGAUACGGGCAGACUUGAGUACUGCAGGGGAGACUGGAAUUCCUGGUGUAGCGGUGAAAUGCGCAGAUAUCAGGAGGAACACCGGUGGCGAAGGCGGGUCUCUGGGCAGUAACUGACGCUGAGGAACGAAAGCGUGGGUAGCGAACAGGAUUAGAUACCCUGGUAGUCCACGCCGUAAACGGUGGGCGCUAGGUGUGGGUUCCUUCCACGGAAUCCGUGGCCGUAGCUAACGCAU
rnacentral:rRNA from 1 species